GAUGAAGAACGCAGCGAAAUGCGAUAAGUAAUGUGAAUUGCAGAAUUCAGUGAAUCAUCGAAUCUUUGAACGCGCAUUGCGCCCGCGAGUAUUCUCGCGGGCAUGCCUGUCCGAGCGUCAUUUCAACCCUCAGGGCCCGCCUGCUUCGGCAGGCGCGGCGCUGGUGUUGGGGAUCGGCCUAACCGCCGUCCCCCAAAUACAGUGGCGGUCUCGCUGCAGCCUCCCCUGCGUAGUAGCAACACUCGCAUGCGGAGCGCGGCGCGGCCACGCCGUAAAACCCCCGACUUUCUGAACGUUGACCUCGGAUCAGGUAGGAAUACCCGCUGAACUUAAGCAUAUCAAUAAGCGGAGGA
rnacentral:misc_RNA from 1 species